GCGGAAAGAAACCUCUUACAGAAGGUCAACAACAGUGAAUUGGUCCUCCUUCCUACCUGGUUGAUUUCCAAGUCUGCAGUUUGCUGUAGAGUGUCUGGAACAAGGAGGUGGUUUUGUUUUUGCUGCUGGACACCCACUGGCUGAUCUACAAUUGUUAAGGUAAACGAUACAGACUACAGCAGACCCAUGACCUAUUACAUGUAUAUCCAACUGAACCAAUAAAAAUGUCUUCAUCAUCAGAGUUUUACGAGUGGCCACGUGCACCUGAGCAUCACUAAGACGUAGAGGAUUGCAAAAAGGGAAAUGACUGAAUUUCAAAAACUUGGCAUUCAUCACUGAAUGGAAACCGUGUCAGACUCACAUGUUUGUCCCACCGACGGAAGUAGCCUAAAACAUGACAAGACAUGAUACACCGUUUCCUCUCA